rnacentral:rRNA from 1 species
CGGUGAUCCUGCCGGCGGCCACCGCUAUUGGAAUUCGUAAGACAUGCGAGUCGAGAGUGCAAGGACUCGGCGGACCGCUCAGUAACACGCGGAUAACAUGCCCUUGGGUGGGGGAUAACCUCGGGAAACUGAGAAUAAUACCCCAUAGAUCUAGAAAGCUGGAAUGCUUCAAGAUCGAAAACUCCGGUGCCCAAGGAUUGGUCUGCGGCGUAUCAGGUUGUAGUGGGUGUAACGGACCCCCUAGCCUAUGACGCGUAAGGGCCUUGAGAGAGGGAGCCCUGAGAUGGACUUUGAGACAUGAGUCCAGGCCCUACGGGGCGCAGCAGUCGCGAAAACUUCACAAUGGGGGAAACCCCGAUGAGGGAAUUCCAAGUGCCAGCACAUUGUGUUGGCUGUUCUCUGGUCUAAAAAACCGGAGAAGUAAGGGCCGGGUAAGACGGGUGCCAGCCGCCGCGGUAAUACCCGCGGCCCAAGUGGUGGUCGAUAUUAUUGAGCCUAAAACGUCCGUAGCCGGUCUUGUAAAUCCUUGGGUAAAUCGACCAGCUCAACUGUUCGAAGUCCGGGGAGACUGCAAGACUUGGGAUCGGGAGAGGUGAGAGGUACUUCUGGGGUAGGGGUAAAAUCCUGUAAUCCUAGAAGGACCACCGGUGGCGAAGGCGUCUCACUAGAACGAAUCCGACGGUGAGGGACGAAGCCCUGGGGCGCAAACGGGAUUAGAUACCCCGGUAGUCCAGGGUGUAAACGCUGCGGGCUUGGUGUUGGGGGUCCUUUGAGGGCGCCCAGUGCCGGAGAGAAUUGUUAAGCCUGCUGCUUGGGGAGUACGUCCGCAAGGAUGACUUAAAGGAAUUGGCGGGGAGCACCGCAACGGGAGGAGCGUGCGGUUCAAUUGGAUUCACGCCGGG